rnacentral:misc_RNA from 1 species
UCAAGAUUGAAAGUUGAAACACGCUUGCAUUGUGCAAAGACUUCUACAAGAACUGUACUCUCAUCUCAACUUGUGGAAAAGAAAAGAAUUGUAAAUGGAAAAUAUAAUAAUCUUGGGAGUGAUUUCAUGGGCAACCACUUUUCUGUUGAUCAGGAAGCUGUUGCCAAAUCGUUCUUUCGAGUUCUGCAAUCGUUUGGUUUCUUCAAUCCAUGCAAUUUUAGCUGUGACAUUAGCUUCCCUUUCCGUUGAAGAUUGGAGGUGCCCUGCGUGUCCUUUGGCUUCAAAACCUUCAUCGAGUCAGCGAUUCAAUCUGGACAAUACAAUUCACCAUUUGGUUAGCAUUGUUGGAUUGGGAGCUGGCCUUGCAUAUCAAAAGAACUGGUUACGGCACUGUGGAUGACGGAGAUGUCAAGCCCUUUCCUCCACUUGAGGGAACUUCUCAAGGAACUUGGUUACAGGGACACUGCCCUUAAUUUAGCAGCAGAUAUGUCAUUCGCAAUUAUAUUCUCGUUUGCCAGAAUGGUAGCUGGGCCUUACCUCACUUAUGUUACUAUUAAAGCUAAUAAUCCACUUGUUAUUGAGGUAUAAGGACAUCACUCUUUUGAAAAAUUAUACUAUAAAAUUGAUGUAUAUACAACGAGUUCAUUAUAAUUGUUAAUUGUAGUGAUCUUAUGCAGGUUCUACCAUAAUUAACGGUUAUAAUAAUUAUAUAUACAUAUUGAGUUUACCAAAUAAAAAUUUCACUUUUUGGGCAUUUAAACAAAAAUCUAAAUGGGUAUUUUUGUUUAGGUGAUGGCAUUGGGAUUACAACUGGUGAGUGCUUUCUGGUUCUUCAAGAUAGUGAGGAUGAUAAAGUACAAGGUAGCCAGCAAAACCAAAACCAAGUCUAAAGAAAGCUACCAUUUUGUUGAGAGUGGAUGACAUAAAUUGAAAUUUAUAUGUUGCUUCCAUUUUCUAGAAGCUUGAAAGUGCCAAAAUCAUAGUCAUUUUUACAAUGUAAAUUACAUAAAACACUUUCAUUAAAUGUUAAUUUUGUGAUUAAUUCUAAAUUAUGAAUUACAAUUUUUU